rnacentral:rRNA from 1 species
UACGGAGGGUGCAAGCAUUAAUCGGAAUUAUUGGGCGUAAAGGGUGCGUAGGCGGCGCGGUAAGUCGGGUGUGAAAUCUCGGAGCUUAACUCCGAAACUGCAUUCGAUACUGCCGUGCUUGAGGGCUGGAGAGGAGACUGGAAUUUACGGUGUAGCGGUGAAAUGCGUAGAUAUCUGGAGGAACACCGGUGGCGAAGGCGGCAUCCUGGACCGGCAUUGACGCUGAGGCGCGAAAGCCAGGGGAGCAAACGGG